rnacentral:lncRNA from 1 species
GUUGGCUUUAGAUGAAUUUGGCUAUUUAUUUUAGGUAUUUUUGACAUAUAGCUCUUCAACGAUUUUCGGUACUUACCCAUCUUCUGAUUUCAAAUGUUUGGCUUUGAGCGUUCCUGAUGAAGGUAAAUCCUGAAAAGCGCUUCGGACGCAAUAAAUUAUUAAACGUGUUGUUUUCCAUUUUUUACAUCACUGGGUCGAUACCUCUGCUGGUGGACUAUCAGUCCCCGAGGGUAUCAUCAGCUCAGUAGUCAGUGCUUCGGUACUGACAUGAUUUAACAAACUUUACUAAAAUUGUCCGUUUAUAAAUUUUUAAAUUAUUAUAAAAGUAAGGUUUCAACUCCCUCAGGCAAAGUUGGCUUUAGAUGAAUUUGGCUAUUUAUUUUAGGUAUUUUUGACAUAUAAGCUCUUCAACGAUUUUCGGUACUUACCCAUCUUCUGAUUUCAAAUGUUUGGCUUUGAGCGUUCCUGAUGAAGGUAAAUCCAGAAAAGCGCUUCGGACGCAAUAAAUUAUUAAACGUGUUGUUUUCCAUUUUUUA